UGAACGCUAGCGACAGGCUAACACAUGCAAGUCGAGGGCAGCAUAAAGUAGCAAUACUUUAGUGGCGAACGGGUGAGUAACACGUGAGCAACCUGCCUUAUACUCAGGGAUAACAGUUGGAAACGACUGCUAAUACCGGAUAAGACCACACUAUGGCAUCAUAGAGGGGUCAAAGUGCUUUAGCGGUAUGAGAUGGGCUCGCGUCCAAUUAGCUAGUUGGUGGGGUAACGGCCCACCAAGGCGACGAUUGGUAGCCGACUUGAGAGAGUGAUCGGCCACACUGGAACUGAGACACGGUCCAGACUCCUACGGGAGGCAGCAGUGGGGAAUAUUGGGCAAUGGAGGAAACUCUUACCCAGCAAUGCCGCGUGAGUGAUGAAGGUCUUUGGAUUGUAAAGCUCUUUGAUUGGGGAAGAAUAAAUGACGGUACCCAAAGAACAAGCCCCGGCUAACUAUGUGCCAGCCGCUGC
rnacentral:rRNA from 1 species